CGGAAGCCGAGGAGGGACGAAGGAGCCGGGGAGGAGGUUGGAGCAGCGCGAUGGGGGACUCCAAAGUGAAGGUGGCGGUGCGCGUCCGCCCCACGAACCGGCGAGCGGCCGAGAGUCAUGAAUGCCUCACAACUGGUGACUGCAGAGCUAGAAAAUGGAAUGACAACAGCUCAGCAGCCGCUUUAGAGACAGCCAGCGUGGCUUCGCCGAGGGCAAAUCGUGCCCGACUAAUCCAGCGGCCUUCCAUGAUGGAGUGACGGCAUUAGAGGACGAGGGAAGAGCUACGGAUGUCACCUGCCUGGAGGACGUCAGUGAGGCACGGACAGUUUUGCAGGCAUCCAUGAGUGAAGGACCAGAGUACCUCAAUCUGUCCCUUCAACAAUCCUUCCCCGCUCCAUGUUUUCAAUUGGAAACCGCACCAGUGAGCUCCUAAAUCCAGGCGGCGCCUCUGCAGAAGUGGAGCAAAACCAACAUGAUUCAGCAGAUGAAGCUGUAAAAUAUUCCAACCUUUGAAGUCAAGGCAGUUCAGCCCUGACCAUUCAUGUAUCUCAGAAGUACUAGGAGAUAAACGCGGGAAACAUUACACAGCUCGGAGGCAGGGGCUCGCAUAAAGGAAAUGUCCAGAGGCAAGACUGCAGAGCCAUGAGAAGUCAUCGCCUUCCCAGAGCCCCGAUAAAACCCGACGUUGAAGCUGAGGAUGGUUCUUUGGCCUCCGAGGAUGUCUCCGUCUUCAGAGAAGUUUGCAGAACGUAGCAACGAUCACGUGCGAAUCUGGUUUCUCUUUGGCAAUUAGAAUGGAAGAAAGGUUGAAAGGGUGACUCAACAGAAAAAACAUCACCCUCCACUUGCGGCUCAUCAUGCCCAGCUGUAAAGCGGGGUAUAUUUUACCUCCAUUGCAAAGUACUCGGUUUCAGAAGACGUUGGUGCGGUUUGCUGAGGCCCCGGCUGGAAAAUACCACAAGAAGUUCAAAGCCCGGUUUCAUCCUGUAAUUGGAUCCUCAAGUCCACAAGUGCAAGAACCAACUGUGCGGGCUGACAGCAGGUCCUCCCCUCUUCCAACAAGAACCCCACCACAACACGGGGCUGUGGGGCUGAGCUGCAAGCGUGGCAUACCCAGGAGCUGCUACUUUCUGCUGCUAUGCACAAAAAAAUGUUGUUUAAAGCUUUUGCCACCCUGUUUGAUCUGA